GUGCACCCCUGUGCUAGGAGCCCUGAUGUACUGGGAUGGGGGUGGAAUCCAUCCUCGCCCUGAAGGGCAGCACGGAGCCACCGGUGCCCCCACCAUACAUCUGAGUGCCUCUGUGGGACGCUGAACUGCCCUCUGGAAGACGCCACCCGAAUUUCCUGUGGCGGUCCCAGAUCCAUCCAUCAAACGCAUGGCAACAGGAGUGUUGACAGACAGGCGGAGAAGGAGACGAGGAGCUAUUCUUGCCUCUGAUACAAGAGCACAGCACUAGGAGAACGUGGCUCACCAAAGGGAUCACGGCCAAGGAACUAAGCCUCUGAAUGUAGCUGUGGGUGUGAAGCAACAAGGACAGAGGAGCAGACGCCCUGUCUGAGUAACAGCCAGACCGUGAGAGACGCUACAGGUCAAAGAGCUCAG